rnacentral:rRNA from 1 species
UACGUAGGGUGCGAGCGUUAAUCUGAAUUACUGGGCGUAAAGCGUGCGCAGGCGGUUUUGUAAGCCAGAUGUGAAAUCCCCGGGCUUAACCUGGGAAUGGCAUUUGGGACUGCAAGGCUCGAGUGCGGCAGAGGAGACUGGAAUUCCUGGUGUAGCAGUGAAAUGCGUAGAUAUCAGGAGGAACACCGAUGGCGAAGGCAGGUCUCUGGGCUGACACUGACGCUCAUGCACGAAAGCGUGGGGAGCAAACAGG